AGAAGUGCAUCGGAAACUGGAUAACUUGAGUGCAGAAGAGGGUAGUGGAACUCCAUGUGUAGCGGUGGAAUGCGUAGAUAUAUGGAAGAACACCAGUGGCGAAGGCGGCUACCUGGUCUGCAACUGACGCUGAGACUCGAAAGCAUGGGUAGCGAACAGGAUUAGAUACCCUGGUAGUCCAUGCCGUAAACGAUGAGUGCUAGGUGUUGGAGGGUUUCCGCCCUUCAGUGCCGGAGCUAACGCAUUAAGCACUCCGCCUGGGGAGUACGACCGCAAGGUUGAAACUCAAAGGAAUUGACGGGGGCCCGCACAAGCGGUGGAGCAUGUGGUUUAAUUCGAAGCUACGCGAAGAACCUUACCAGGUCUUGACAUCUUGCGCCAACCCUAGAGAUAGGGCGUUUCCUUCGGGAACGCAAUGACAGGUGGUGCAUGGUCGUCGUCAGCUCGUGUCGUGAGAUGUUGGGUUAAGUCCCGCAACGAGCGCAACCCUUGUUACUAGUUGCCAGCAUUAAGUUGGGCACUCUAGUGAGACUGCCGGUGACAAACCGGAGGAAGGUGGGGACGACGUCAGAUCAUCAUGCCCCUUAUGACCUGGGCUACACACGUGCUACAAUGGACGGUACAACGAGUCGCGAACUCGCGAGGGCAAGCAAAUCUCUUAAAACCGUUCUCAGUUCGGACUGCAGGCUGCAACUCGCCUGCACGAAGUCGGAAUCGCUAGUAAUCGCGGAUCAGCAUGCCGCGG
rnacentral:rRNA from 1 species